CUCUCCGUGGCCUUGGGCCUUGCCUUCCUUCCCUCUCAAGUCUUAACGCCUUGCCUCUGUUGUUGCUGCUGUGUAUGUGUUGUUGUGUGGUUGUUUCCGGUCCCGUAUCAUCCAAGCCAACAAACUAGCGAAGGUAGGCGCACAAGCAUACACAUUCACACUAGCAACAAUGAACAACAAGGCCUCCGUUUCCAAAGACCUCAACGCCAAACACCUCAAGGUUUUAGAAGGCCUUCUUAAGCUGCCACAAAACAGGGAAUGUGCUGAUUGCCGGAGCAAAGCCCCGCGAUGGGCUAGUGUCAACCUGGGAAUAUUUAUUUGCAUGCAGUGCUCAGGAAUUCAUCGGAGUCUUGGAGUGCAUAUUUCAAAGGUACGGUCUACAACUUUGGAUACAUGGCUGCCAGAACAGGUUGCUUUUAUGGAAUCCAUGGGUAAUGAAAAGGCAAACAGUUAUUGGGAAAAAGAAUUGCCACCAAAUUUUGACAGAAGUGGGACUGAGAAAUUUAUUCGUGCCAAGUAUGAGGGGAAAAUGUGGGUUUCGAAGAAUGCAAAACAGCCAGCUCCUAAACCAGUAGAUAUGAGCAUCAGUUCCAACAGUUUGGUAAAGGGCGGACCCACACGUGGAGUUCCUAAGAAAACAAGGAGACAUUCUCUUGAGGAGGCAAUGCUUUUUACGAACCUGGCAGAAGCUGCUCCUACAGUGGCAAGAUCCCGUGGGGGUUCUUUAGAUUUGAAUCAUAAGUUUAGUACGUCACCUCCAGCAAAGGGGCCACCACCAAUGAUGGAAUGUGAUACAGUCACAAAAAAGAUCAACGGUACAACAGACCUAUUCAGCUUGCUUUAUGUUCAUGAUGCAAAGCAGAAGUAUGCCACUCCUCCGCUCUGGCAAACUUUUGAUUGAGAAGAUAAUUUUAAGUGAAGCCCAUGGAAUUCACUAAUGUUGAACCAGCUGUGGAAGUUAACGCCAUAGUUUAUAACUGAACUAGAUUAGUUGCAACUUGCAAGGAUGAGGUUGUAUUUGCGCUUGUUCUCAUGUCGAUUUGCUUGUUCGUUCAAUCGUUCUACACUGCAUACAUUGCAAGAGAAGAAAAGAUCUGAAACAAUCAAAAGAUUUAGUGUUGGACCUAUGGCCGCCUUCUCCAAUGUCUCCAUCUCAUAUUUUUUAAUAACGCAGACUGGAGAAAGAAUUAAUGUAAUAAUUGUUAUAAGAAUUAUUAAACAGAACAAAGAUGUGUUACUCGCAAACAAUUAAUUGAUCUGCUUCGAUGA